rnacentral:tRNA from 1 species
GGGAGCGGAUGGGGCCCGGUGGCUCUCGCGGACUUCAAAUCCGUUGCCUUGGCGCCUUCGCGUUGAGGGGUGGGUUCGACUCCCUCGCGCUCCCGCCA